rnacentral:rRNA from 1 species
GACAAACGCUGGCGGCGUGCUUAAAACAUGCAAGUCGAACGCUCCGUUUCGGCGGAGAGUGGCGGACGGCUGAGUAACACGUAGGUAACCUGCCCUUGAGUGGGGAAUAACCCUCCGAAAGGAGGGCUAAUACCGCAUACGAUCGCCAUUCCCUGGAGUGGUGAGGAAAGCCGAAAGGCGCUCGAGGAGGGGCCUGCGGCCGAUUAGCUUGUUGGUGGGGUAACGGCCCACCAAGGCGUCGAUCGGAGCUGGUCUAAGAGGAUGAUCAGCCAGACUGGGACUGCGACACGGCCCAGACUCCUACGGGAGGCAGCAGUUAGGAAUUUUGGGCAAUGGGCGAAAGCCUGACCCAGCAACGCCGCGUGGGUGACGAAGGCCUUCGGUCGUAAACGU